rnacentral:rRNA from 1 species
AGUGAACGCUGGCGGCAGGCCUAACACAUGCAAGUCGAACGGCAUCACAGUAGUAGGUUGCUGUCAGGGGAGUCGAGUGUCGGACGGUUGAGGAAUACAUCGGAAUCUACUUGUACACUGGGGCUAAUGUCGGGAAAGUCACGCUAAUACAGCAUUCGUCCUACGGGUGAAAGCAGGGGAUCUUCUGACCUUGCGGGAUUGAAUCGGCCGAUGUCGGAUUCGCUAGUUGGCGGGGCAAAGGCCAUGCAAGGCGACGAUGCGAAGCUGGUCUGAGAGGAAGAACCGCCACACGGGCACUGAGAAACGGCACAGACACCUACAGGAGGAAGCAGUGGGGAAUAUUGCGCGAUGGACGAGAGCCGGAUCCAGCCAUGUCGCGGAAGGGAAGAAGCAGUUCGGCUGGGUAAAUCCUGUUGGUCGGAAGAAAAAGCAACUCGUUAAUAGCCCGCUGUAAUGACGGUACCCAAAGAAUAAGCACCGGCUAACUUCGUG